rnacentral:rRNA from 1 species
AGAGUUUGAUCCUGGCUCAGGACGAACGCUGGCGGCGUGCUUAACACAUGCAAGUCGAGCGGAAAGGCCCUUCGGGGUACUCGAGCGGCGAACGGGUGAGUAACACGUGAGUAAUCUGCCUUGACUCUGGGAUAGCUCCGGGAAACCGGGAUUAAUACCGGAUAUGACUCUGGCUGACAUCGGCUGGGGUGGAAAGAUUU